AAAGUCGUAACAAGGUUUCCGUAGGUGAACCUGCGGAAGGAUCAUUACAGAGUUCAUGCCCUUCGGGGUAGAUCUCCCACCCUUGAAUAUCUUACCAUUGCUGCUUUGGCGGGCCGCUUCGGCCACUGGCUUCUAGCUAGUGAGUGCCCGCCAGAGGACCCUCAACUCUGAAUUUUAUAUUGUCUGAGAACUAUAUAAUAGUUAAAACUUUCAACAACGGAUCUCUUGGUUCUG
rnacentral:misc_RNA from 1 species